GCAUAUCAAUAAGCGGAGGAAAAGAAACCAACAGGGAUUGCCUUAGUAGCGGCGAGUGAAGCGGCAAAAGCUCAAAUUUGAAAUCUGGCACUUUCAGUGUCCGAGUUGUAAUUUGAAGAAGGUAUCUUUGGGUCUGGCUCUUGUCUAUGUUUCUUGGAACAGAACGUCACAGAGGGUGAGAAUCCCGUGCGAUGAGAUGACCCAGACCUAUGUAAAGUUCCUUCGAAGAGUCGAGUUGUUUGGGAAUGCAGCUCUAAGUGGGUGGUAAAUUCCAUCUAAAGCUAAAUAUUGGCGAGAGACCGAUAGCGAACAAGUACAGUGAUGGAAAGAUGAAAAGAACUUUGAAAAGAGAGUGAAAAAGUACGUGAAAUUGUUGAAAGGGAAGGGCUUGAGAUCAGACUUGGUAUUUUGUAUGUUACUCUCUCGGGGGUGGCCUCUACAGUUUACCGGGCCAGCAUCAGUUUGGGCGGUAGGACAAUUGCAAAGAAAUGUGGCACUGCCUCGGUAGUGUGUUAUAGUCUUUGUCGAUACUGCCAGCCUAGACUGAGGACUGCGGCUUCGGCCUAGGAUGUUGGCAUAAUGAUCUUAAGUCGCCCGUCUUGAACACCCGGACCAAA
rnacentral:rRNA from 1 species